CCAAUAGCGUAUAUUAAAGUUGUUGCAGUUAAAAAGCUCGUAGUUGAAUUUCGGGAUCAGUACGCUGGUCGUGCCUUCGGUAUGUACUGGUGUUACUGGUUCCUACCUUCUGACGAACCGUCAUGUCAUUAAUUUGGUGUGGCGGGAAAUCAGGACUGUUACUUUGAAAAAAUUAGAGUGUUUAAAGCAGGCUCGCGCUUGAAUACAUUAGCAUGAAAUAAUGAAAUAGGACGUUCGAUCCUAUUUUGUUGGUUUCUAGGAUUGACGUAAUGAUUAAUAGGGAUAGUUGGUGGCAUUAGUAUUCAAUUGUCAGAGGUGAAAUUCUUGGAUUUAUUGAAGACUAACUACUGCGAAAGCAUUUGCCAAGGAUGUUUUCAUUAAUCAAGAACGAAAGUUAGGGGAUCGAAGACGAUCAGAUACCGUCGUAGUCUUAACCAUAAACUAUGCCGACUAGGGAUCGGAUGAUGUUAUUUUUAAUGACUCAUUCGGCGCCUUACG
rnacentral:misc_RNA from 1 species